UACAGACCAAGUUGAUAAGAGCUAUUGGUGGAUGCCUUGGCAUUGACAGGCGAAGAAGGACGCGAAUACCUGCGAAAAGCUCCGGCGAGCUGGUGAUAAGCAAAGACCCGGAGGUAUCCGAAUGGGGAAACCCGGUAGAAUAAUAGACUACCAUUGCAUACUGAAUACAUAGGUGUGCAAAGCGACACCUGCCGAACUGAAACAUCUUAGUAAGCAGAGGAAAAGAAAUCGAAGAGAUUCCCAGUGUAGCGGCGAGCGAAAUGGGAGGAGCCUAAACCGAGCUGAAAAAGCGAGGGGUUGUAGGAUUGAGGAUAAAGGAUCAGGACUUCUAGUUGAACACAUCUGGAAAGGUGGACGAGACAGGGUGAUAGUCCCGUAAACGAAAGGAGAGAAAGACCGACCUCAACACCUGAGUAGGACUAGACACGUGAAACCUAGUUUGAAUCUGGGGAGACCACUCUCCAAGGCUAAAUACUAGUCAAUGACCGAUAGUGAACCAGUACUGUGAAGGAAAGGCGAAAAGAACCCUUGUUAAGGGAGUGAAAUAGAACCUGAAACCAGUAGCUUACAAGCGGUCGAAGACCAAUGGCCC
rnacentral:rRNA from 1 species